rnacentral:rRNA from 1 species
GACGAACGCUGGCGGCGUGCUUAACACAUGCAAGUCGAGCGGUAAGGCCUCUUCGGGGGUACACGAGCGGCGAACGGGUGAGUAACACGUGGGUGACCUGCCCUCAGCUCUGGGAUAAGCCUGGGAAACUGGGUCUAAUACCGGAUGUGACCUUGCCUCGCAUGGGGUGGGGUGGAAAGUCCUGGGCUUGAUUGUCUGGGUUCGGCUGGGGAUGGGCCCGCGGCCUAUCAGCUUGUUGGUGGGGUGAUGGCCUACCAAGGCGACGACGGGUAGCCGGCCUGAGAGGGCGACCGGCCACACUGGGACUGAGACACGGCCCAGACUCCUACGGGAGGCAGCAGUGGGGAAUUUUGCGCAAUGGGCGGAAGCCUGACGCAGCGACGCCGCGUGAGGGAUGACGGCCUUCGGGUUGUAAACCUCUUUCAGCCCUGACGAAGCCCUCAUUGGGGGUGACGGUAGGGGUAGAAGAAGCACCGGCCAACUACGUGCCAGCAGCCGCGGUAAUACGUAGGGUGCAAGCGUUGUCCGGAAUUAUUGGGCGUAAAGAGCUCGUAGGCGGUCUGUCGCGUCGGCUGUGAAAUCCCGGGGCUCAACCCCGGGCUUGCAGUCGAUACGGGCAGGCUAGAGUGCGGCAGGGGAGACUGGAAUUCCUGGU